CAUUUACGGAGAGUUUGAUCCUGGCUCAGGACGAACGCUGGCGGCGUGCUUAACACAUGCAAGUCGAACGGUGACAUCAGAGCUUGCUCUGGUUGAUCAGUGGCGAACGGGUGAG
rnacentral:rRNA from 1 species